AUGUGAAAAUUACAUCUUGAAAUGUGUGUUAAAAGCUUAUUUGUGAUGUCACUUUAUAGAAAGACUGAUAGGUGAUAUUUUUCUUUUAAUAUCAUGUGCAGAUCAUAGUGGAUGGACUUUUGUGAUUGGAUUUCUUCAGUUACUCUGGACAGUGUGGAUAUUUGAACGGUCAUUUGAUGAUACAGUUGUUCUAGUGGUACUGAACGCUGGUGCUCUGAUGACUGAACUGAUACUGAAAACAAUUAAUGGUGUAGGAGCACUGGGAGAUUUGAGGAUCAUUGUCUUUUCCUCUGAAUGUCUCUGUCUCUUACCUCUGCUGAUUUCACUAGUAUCGGCACCCUUGAUUCAACAAAUCACAACAUUUUUGCAGACUUGUCAGAAUGCAGACCCCGGAUCACAGCAUGAUCAGAGUCCUCAG
ensembl:lncRNA